UGGGGAAUUUUGGACAAUGGGCGAAAGCCUGAUCCAGCAAUGCCGCGUGUGUGAAGAAGGCCUUCGGGUUGUAAAGCACUUUUGUCCGGAAAGAAAUGGCUCUGGUUAAUACCUGGGGUCGAUGACGGUACCGGAAGAAUAAGGACCGGCUAACUACGUGCCAACAGCCGCGGUAAUACGUAGGGUCCAAGCGUUAAUCGGAAUUACUGGGCGUAAAGCGUGCGCAGGCGGUUGUGCAAGACCGAUGUGAAAUCCCCGAGCUUAACUUGGGAAUUGCAUUGGUGACUGCACGGCUAGAGUGUGUCAGAGGGGGGUAGAAUUCCACGUGUAGCAGUGAAAUGCGUAGAGAUGUGGAGGAAUACCGAUGGCGAAGGCAGCCCCCUGGGAUAACACUGACACUCAUGCACGAAAGCGUGGGGAGCAAACAGGAUUAGAUACCCUGGUAGUCCACGCCCUAAACGAUGUCAACUAGUUGUUGGGGAUUCAUUUCCUUAGUAACGUAGCUAACGCGUGAAGUUGACCGCCUGGGGAGUACGGUCGCAAGAUUAAAAGC
rnacentral:rRNA from 1 species